CUUUGAUAAAUUUGACAGAGUUCUGAGAUAACGCAGACAGCAUGUUUCUUAACGUGUUACUUGUAAGUUUAACUGUGAUUCUAACAGAUGCAGCUAUUAAGGACGAUAUUUUGAAUUUAUAUCGUCAUAAAUUUAAUGGGGAUGGAACUUACUAUGGACCAGCUGAUACCGGUACGUGUCAGUAUAACCCACCAAGUCGUCCACCAGCAGCACUUCAUCCUACCAUAAAACAUUUUGUAGCUCUUAAUAAACCACAGUUCCUAGGUUCCUAUUCUUGUGGCAUGUGUUUUAAGGUUCAUGCAGAGGGACAGGGGUUAGGUAGUAAUCCUAUUAAUGGAGAUUUUGUUGCAUUUGCUAAUGAUCUGUGUCCAGAAUGUGUUGCAGGAUCUCUGGAUUUUGGCGA